CCCCAGGGCCGCCGCCGCCCGGAGGCGGUUCCCUCGCUUGCUCCCGGGCCGUAAACCUGUAAACCGGGCCCGAAGCCCACCUCCCUCCCUCUUCCCACCGCCGCGGCGCGGGACCUCGGUGCACCCCCGCCCCUCCCUGCCCCGCGGUUGCCGGGCAACCCCGGGACGCGCUAGCCGGGGGCCGGCACGCGUCUGCGGCUGCGCGGGCCGUUGGUGAGCAGGCUGCUAGGGCCGUUGCAGCGCCAUGGCCUAGCCUGCCUCAGGCUGAGGAACUACUUCAAGAAGUACAUUCCUCAGGUCUGCGAGGUACUAGAGCCACGCGGCGGCGGAAUUAGAAGAGGGAGGACCCGGGAGAUUUCCCAGAGGAGGGGCUUGGCGAAGAGAGGACGCGGAGGGAGGAGUGUAAUGGGUCUGGACGAAGUCGGCGUUGGGCUCUGUUAUGUGGUCUAACUGUCACAUGUGCUGAGGAUCCUCUCAGAUAUUUAGAGGAAAUGAUUAUUACUGUAAGGGAAACUGGUCUUGAAAGUCUUCUCUGGGAUAUAUGUUCAUUGAUCCACUAAUGAAACCAAAAAUUCGGAGAUUGUCUGAAACUUAUAUGGAACAACUUUUUGAACUGGAUGAUCAGCUGUUCUGUUGUGUUCUCUUUAAAACAGCAUGACUUGUGUCGCCACGGGGCACAUCUGUGGUGAUGCUGGGCUACAUUUAAUGCACCGUUGGCAGAAUCAACAGCACAGCAGCAGGAUAAAGGGCAGCAUCAGGAGAGGCACAGCCCAGUAGAGAGUGUUGAAACUGGGGAAAACUGGACUGGAAGACCCUUCAUCUGGGUAAAUACUCUGUGUGUCUUCUGGCAUAGCAUCUGGAAAGGCACGUCACUGGGCAGCUGGUAGUAUGGCAUCCAGUAGGGCAGGUGGGGUCCCCUUCCUGUAAGUCACACAGUUCCUCCUGCUGAUUCUAAAUCAGUCUUGAUAAAGGUGAGGCCAUUAUUCAGGCUGAAAUCAAUGAAGAUGGCCUGGCCCAGAUUAUUUAUCUUCAUUCCUGGCAUGUAAUGGAGGUAUCUUGCACAGAUACAGCCUUUAUUCCUGUGGUUUCCUUUCCAGUUCAAAAUUGACAGAUACCUUCAUCCUUGUGUAUGUUUUGAAAACCAAUAACCUUGCUUUCUUUUUAUCUCUAGUGCAGAUAGUGGAGAAAUCCACAGAUGUAAUCUGCACACAAGACCUCACUACAAGUGGGUCAAUGAUGUAUUCUAGUCCACUGUAUCCACUGUCCACUCAAAACACAUGAUCCUCUUUGCCAGCAAUUUCCAGUAGCUGGUAUUUCUGGUAAUCUUGCACUCCCACAAAAUAGAGUUCCCCCAACUGCUUAGAUUUUGCAGCUUCAACCUUGGUCUCUGCAAAGGAUUCUGACAGCAGUUUCCACCUGUCACAGUGAUGAUGAGGCUGGGAACCUUCUCUCCUGCAGCAUUCAUUCUUUCAAUCUGCUCAUUUGCCGUUUCUAAUCCAUGCUGCAUGUUUAUGGCUCCUGUAGGUAUUACAUCGAGCAAUUCGACAAAAGCAGUAUGUAUUUAUUUUUUGCCCGAGGUCCACUUCAAGUUGAUGUGGCCAUGUGUGGAGUAGGUGAUGAAGGACAUAUGUGUUCGGGGUUUUUGAAUUUGUUCACCAAAUCCUUGUUAAUUAUUCUCUCCUCCUCAUUUUUUGCUGGCAUGUUAGAAGGAAAAUCCCAGGAACUGUAUUAUUUUUACCAGUAAAUGCUCUCAUAACAAUAGAUAGAAAGACAAAGCUCUGUGUGAACAUCCAGUUGUUGUUUACACUUCAUGAUCUGGGGAUUUCUUGUUAUCAAAUCUGAACUGACAAAUAGCUUCCUCCGUGUUGUCUAUGUUUUGAAAGCCUUUUCUGAUAACCUUCAAUUUCUUGUUAAUAAAAGCUGCUGCUGCUGCUGCUACUGUAAGGAGGCGAGGUCUGCCACCCUCAGAAAAAAUUUUAAAAAUUUGUUUACAAAGAAAUAAGAUGCUUUAACCAUCAAUGUUUCUAAUAUUUUAUCUAGACACUAAAUAAACAUCAGCUUUAUCUUUUUUUCCCAGUUUUAUUUCCUAUACAGUUUCCUAUAGGUAUAACUGCCAGUAAGAGAGUUUUUAAUAUUUUGAUAAAACAUGUUAAAGGUCAUAAACAAUUGUAAUUUUUCCCAUUGAUUAUUAAGAUUGUUCAUCAUGGUUUCAGUGUGUGAAAAAACUGAAGAAAGGAAAAGCAGUUAUUUUUAUGGUCUUACACUACACAGUCCUGCACAGCAAGGACUGACUGUACCUAUUUAUAAGUUUCUAUUUGUGCAAACAGAGAAGAUUGAAUAUAGGAAACUGUGAGUAAGCCAAAUAGUUACAGAAAAGAUAGGAACUGCUCUCAUAACAAUAGAUAGACAGUUUAACUGUGUGUUCCAAGAUGAAAGAAUAAUCCACUGUAAGGAAGAAACUAACUUCACAGACUUGCUUCUCAUUUCUUAGGAAAUGAAAUCUCCGGACAGGCAUACUAAUUACAAGAAGAAAAGGCAUCUAUCAUACACAAAAACUAUUUUUAUUAUGGAACAAUGUAAACAUAACACAAAAGUAGAAAGAACACCAUAAUGAUACCCCAUAAUCCAGCUUGCACAUUAACCAACAUUUUGCCAUCUUGUUAAUUAUUCUCUUCUCCUCAUUUUUUGCUGGCAUGUUAGAAGGCAAAUCCCAGGAACUGUGUUGUUUUUACCAGUAAAUUCUUCCAUGUGCAUCUGUAACAGGAAAUGACACUUUUAGAGAACAUUGCACAGUGCCACUAAGAAAUGAAAAUAGCAACAAUGCCUGAAUAUCAUCUAUAACUAAUGAUAUUCAGAUGUAUAUAUUUCAUAUUCAGGUUUCCCAUGUUGUCUCAGAAAUGCCUUUUACAUAUGGCUCUGUUAACUCAAGAUCCAUACAAGAUCCACAUAUUGCACUUGGUGGUUACACAUCUGAUGUCUCUUGUAAUCUAUGACAGUUCUCUUUUUAAUUGUUUCCCUCAUUUAUUGAAGAAAGGAGAUCAUUUGUCCUAUAAAAUGUUCCACACUCUCGCGUCUUUUCUGGCAUCGUUUCGUUUUGUUCUGUUUCCUGCAAGUUUGUAAGAAUGAAGGAAAACGGUUGGAAAUUUUGAACAUAAACUGAGACAUCAGUGCAAAUAUGUGGCCCCAUUUAAUUCCUAGUUUGAACAAACUAAUUGUAUAUGACAUUCAGGGGAUCAACUACAGAGAUUUGGGUGUGGAGUGGGUAUUAGGUGAUAUAAAGCAAUUAUCUUUAAUCAUCUAAGGUGCAGUAAUGGAAUAGUGAUUUUGAAUAAAAUGUGCUUAUAUUUUACAGGUAGAUACUAAAAGAUUUGGGGAUUGAAAAUAUCGUAAUUUAUAUACUUUAUAUACAUCAAAAUGGCAGAAGAAAGUAUAGCAGAAUGCUGACAAUGUUAAAUGUAAAUGAUGGGUGUUAGAUGUCCAUUCCAUUUCUUUGAAAGUUUGAAAAAUUUUUAAAUAAAAAAAAUAUUUUUAAGACUGAGUUUUACUUAUGCUAUACACAGAGAUCAGGGAUAGGAGCCAAGGUGGUGGCAUGAGUAGAGCAGUGGAAAUAUCCUCCCCAAACCAUAUAUAUUUUUGAAAAUACAACUAAUACAACUAUUCCUAAAAGAGAGACCAGAAGAUACAGUACAACAGCCAGCCUACAUCUACACCUGUGAGAACACAGAGUCACACGAAGGGGGUAAGAUACAAGCCGUGCCCCGGCAGGACCCGAGCUCACUCCACACCCCAGGUCUCCAUGGGAGGAAAGGAGUCACAGCGGGGAGGGAGAGGGAGCCCAGGACUGCUAAAUACCCAGCCCUAGUCAUCCCCACUGA